rnacentral:lncRNA from 1 species
GAUGUUCUUAAUCCCUAAUCCCGGUUCCUCCUCCUUCUGAAAUUUCGCGUUCUCUUUUAUCCCCGUCAGCCUCUGCAACGAGCUCGAGUUUUCUUUCACCUUGUCGUCGUCGUCGUCGCCGCCGACGGACUGCCAACCGUCGUCGAUGAUGACGAACUUCGGCGGCGUGCCACCGCUUCGGAGAGAUUGGAUUCCGGUCUCCACUCCUUCCUGAGUAACUUGCUGGUAGAACGCGUCCCAGGUGCACCAGCCGAAGCAGUCCACGAUGCCGGGAAGCUUCUUCUCGUGGCGGAGGCGGAAGGUGUUGAGGUGGUUCCUGACGGCACGGAAAGCAUGAUGAAUGGUGGCGAAUGGAUCGGUGCCGGCACUAAUGAAGAUUGCAUGGCUAAACGACGACGCUUUGGUGUCUGCAUCACCACUCUCGAGGCAUAGUUGAAGGUGAUCGUUGGAAUUCCCCUGUAGACACGCUCUGAAGGAGCCUUCUACAAGAGGGAGAAAAACUGUGUACACGAUCUGAUUCUGGCUGUUGGUAUCGCUUUCCGAUUCGAGGUGGGACCCGUCUU